ensembl:snoRNA
AUUCUCCAAGAGAAUCUGCUGGUCUUGAUUCAUUGUUAGAGGCCUCCAGUGUCCCUCUUAGUGCCCAGAUCAGAAACAUGU